UUGAGACAGAGGUCACAUGUCGAAGAUGGCAGAGUAAAAGGAGGAAGCAACCAUGAUGACAUUGUUGAACUGACAUAUUCACUAAUUUGGGAGCUGUUUACCUCUGGACUUUUUAGAUGGAAUCAAGUUAAGAUGAGGUCAUACUCAUUGGAGUGGGCCCUCCUCCUUCACUGACUGAUGUCCUUAUAAGAAGAGGGAAAUUUGGACACAGGGAGACACAGAGGAGAAAUGGCCAUGUGAGAGAGGCAGAGAUCGAAAUGAUGCCACCACAAGCCAAGGGACACCAAGGAUUGCAAGAAACCACCAGAGCUAGGAAGAGGCAAGGAAGGAUUCUGCCCUAGAGACUUCAGAGAGAGCUUAGCCCUACUGACAACUUGAUUGACGAUUUCUAGUCUCCAGAAAUGUGACAGAAUAAAUUUCUGUUGUGUUAAGCCACCA
rnacentral:lncRNA from 10 species